GUGACUCUGAAGCUGGAGUGAUGGGA
rnacentral:piRNA from 1 species